rnacentral:rRNA from 1 species
GCCGAUGGUACUGCUAUAUCAAGUGGGAGAGUAGGUAGCCGCCUUUU